rnacentral:piRNA from 1 species
UGGAAGCUGCUCUCUUUCAUCUCCAUGGU